rnacentral:rRNA from 1 species
UACGUAGGGGCUAGCGUUGUCCGGAAUCAUUGGGCGUAAAGAGCGUGUAGGCGGUCCGGUAAGUCCGCUGUGAAAGUCGGGGGCUCAACCCUCGAAUGCCGGUGGAUACUGUCGUGCUAGAGUGCGGAAGGGGCUACUGGAAUCUCGGUGUAGCGGUGAAAUGCGUAGAUAUCGGAGAGGAACACCUGCGGCGAAGGCGGGUAGCUGGGCCGACACUGACGCUGAUGCGCGAAAGCCAGGGGAGCGAACGGG